rnacentral:rRNA from 1 species
AGAGUUUGAUCCUGGCUCAGGAUGAACGCUGGCGGCGUGCCUAAUACAUGCAAGUCGAGCGAACGGACGAGAAGCUUGCUUCUCUGAUGUUAGCGGCGGACGGGUGAGUAACACGUGGAUAACCUACCUAUAAGACUGGGAUAACUUCGGGAAACCGGAGCUAAUACCGGAUAAUAUUUUGAACCGCAUGGUUCAAAAGUGAAAGACGGUCUUGCUGUCACUUAUAGAUGGAUCCGCGCUGCAUUAGCUAGUUGGUAAGGUAACGGCUUACCAAGGCAACGAUGCAUAGCCGACCUGAGAGGGUGAUCGGCCACACUGGAACUGAGACACGGUCCAGACUCCUACGGGAGGCAGCAGUAGGGAAUCUUCCGCAAUGGGCGAAAGCCUGACGGAGCAACGCCGCGUGAGUGAUGAAGGUCUUCGGAUCGUAAAACUCUGUUAUUAGGGAAGAACAUAUGUGUAAGUAACUGUGCACAUCUUGACGGUACCUAAUCAGAAAGCCACGGCUAACUACGUGCCAGCAGCCGCGGUAAUACGUAGGUGGCAAGCGUUAUCCGGAAUUAUUGGGCGUAAAGCGCGCGUAGGCGGUUUUUUAAGUCUGAUGUGAAAGCCCACGGCUCAACCGUGGAGGGUCAUUGGAAACUGGAAAACUUGAGUGCAGAAGAGGAAAGUGGAAUUCCAUGUGUAGCGGUGAAAUGCGCAGAGAUAUGGAGGAACACCAGUGGCGAAGGCGACUUUCUGGUCUGUAACUGACGCUGAUGUGCGAAAGCGUGGGGAUCAAACAGGAUUAGAUACCCUGGUAGUCCACGCCGUAAACGAUGAGUGCUAAGUGUUAGGGGGUUUCCGCCCCUUAGUGCUGCAGCUAACGC